rnacentral:rRNA from 1 species
AGAGAGAGCACGAGCCGGGGAUGGAAGAACCGGUACAAGCGAGGUAGGAGGUUUGUUGGCAAAUCCGCAAGCCAAUCCGAAGGCGUGAUGUGGACCGAAAUCAAGUAGGGAAGCGUGUGAGCUGGCUGCCAAGAAAAGCCGCUAUUGUUUAUUAUGAGCCCGUACCGUAAACCGACACAGGUGGAUGAGGAGAGAAUCCUAAGGCCGGCGGGAGAAGCAUUGUUAAGGAACUCGGCAAAAUGACCCCGUAACUUCGGGAGAAGGGGUGCCUCUGGUAACGGAGGCCGCAGAGAAUUGGCCCAAGCAACUGUUUAGCAAAAACACAGGUCUAUGCAAAACCGCAAGGUGAAGUAUAUGGGCUGACGCCUGCCCGGUGCUGGAAGGUUAAGGGGAGAGCUUAGCGCAAGCGAAGGUUCGAACUUAAGCCCCAGUAAACGGCGGCCGUAACUAUAACGGUCCUAAGGUAGCGAAAUUCCUUGUCGGGUAAGUUCCGACCCGCACGAAAGGCGUAAUGAUUUGGGCACUGUCUCAACAAUGGACCCGGUGAAAUUGAAGUACCAGUGAAGAUGCUGGUUACCCGCGCCAGGACGGAAAGACCCCAUGGAGCUUUACUCUAGCUUGAUACUGGGAUUCGGUAUUGCAUGUACAGGAUAGGUGGGAGGCAAAGAAGGAAGGACGCCAGUCUUUCCGGAGCCGCUGUUGGGAUACCACCCUUGUGGUACUGGGUUUCUAACCUGCCGCCAUGAACUGGCGGAGGGACAAUGUCAGGUGGGGAGUUUGACUGGGGCGGUCGCCUCCGAAAGGGUAUCGGAGGCGCUCAAAGGUUCCCUCAGAAUGGUUGGAAACCAUUCGCAGAGUGCAAAGGCAGAAGGGAGCUUGACUGUGACACCGACGGGUGGAGCAGGUACGAAAGUAGGACUUAGUGAUCCGGUGAUAUAAAGUGGGAUUGCCAUCGCUCAACGGAUAAAAGCUACCCUGGGAUAACAGGCUUAUCACUCCCAAGAGUUCACAUCGACGGAGUGGUUUGGCACCUCGAUGUCGGCUCAUCGCAUCCUGGGGCUGUAGUAGGUCCCAAGGGUUGGGCUGUUCGCCCAUUAAAGCGGUACGCGAGCUGGGUCCAGAACGUCGUGAGACAGUUCGGUCCCUAUCCGGCGUGGGCGUAGGAUAUUUGAGAGGAGCUGUCCUUAGUACGAGAGGACCGGGAUGGACUGACCUCUGGUGCAUCGGUUGUUCACCAAGAGCAUGGCCGAGUAGCCAAGUCGGGACGGGAUAAACGCAGAAGGCAUCUAAGCGUGAAGCCCCCCUCAAGAUGAGAUAUCCCAGCGAAAGCUGUAAGACCCCUUGAAGACGACAAGGUAGAUAGGGCAGAGGUGGAAGUGCGGUAACGCAUGCAGCUGACUGUCACUAAUAGGUCGAGGGCUUGACU